UUUCCGUAGGUGAACCUGCGGAAGGAUCAUUACAGAGUUCAUGCCCGAAAGGGUAGACCUCCCACCCUCGUGUAUUAUUACUUUGUUGCUUUGGCGAGCGCAGCUCGCCAGAGAAUACCAAAACUCUUUUUAUUAAUGUCGUCUGAGUACUAUAUAAUAGUUAAAACUUUCAACAACGGAUCUCUUGGUUCUG
rnacentral:misc_RNA from 1 species